CGUGGCUGGCUGGGCCUGGGGGAGGCUGCGGAAGGGGGCUGGGGGUACAGGUAAUUGGGGUCCCCGUGGCUGGCUGGGCCUGGGGGAGGCUGUGGAAGGGGGCUGGGGGUACAGGUAACUGGGGUCCCCGUGGCUGGCUGGGCCUGGGGGAGGCUGUGGAAGGGGGCUGGGGGUACAGGUAACUGGGGUCCCCGUGGCUGGCUGGGCCUGGGGGAGGCUGCGGAAGGGGGCUGGGGGUACA